AGAUAAUAGAUACCCGGGUAGUCCACGCCGUAAACGAUGGAUGCUAGCUGUUAUCGGUAUCGACCCCGGUAGUAGCGAAAGCUAAACGCGUUAAGCAUCCCGCCUGUGGAGUACGGUCGCAAGACUAAAACAUAAAGGAACUGACGGGGACCCGCACAAGCGGUGGAGCGUGUUGUUUAAAUUCGAUGGUAAGCGAAGAACCUUACCCAGGUUUGACAUCCUUGGAAUUUUUCCGAAAGGAAAAAGUGCUUUAUUGAACCAAGUGACAGGUGUUGCAUGGCCGUCGUCAGCUCGUGUCGUGAGAUGUUUGGUUAAGUCCAUCAACGAGCGCAACCCUUAUGUUUAGUUGAAUUUUUCUAGACAGACUGCCCUGGCAACAGGGAGGAAGGAGGGGAUGAUGUCAGGUCAGUAUUACCCUUACACCUGGGGCUACAAACACGCUACAAUGGCCGGUACAAAGGGCAGCCAAGUCGCGAGACGGAGCAAAUCCCAUCAAAGCCGGUCCCAGUUCGGAUAGCAGGCUGAAACUCGCCUGCUUGAAGUCGGAAUCGCUAGUAACGGUA
rnacentral:rRNA from 1 species